AGGGGAAUUUUUCAGGUUCCUGGUUCUCUUUCUAUAAAUGGUGUUUUCAUUACAAUACUAAGGGAAAGUUUUGUACGUUGAAAUUAAGUUACCAUAGAAUUUAAUAACCAAGGUGAUUAUUAAACUGAUUGAGGGUUGGUCUUUUCCCCCAUUGCGUAUGCAGUACUUUCUUGGUAAUCAUUUCACACAAGAAAUUUUCUUUUAUGACAAACCUUCAUCGUUAUGCUGGGAAUUAAGUGCUUUGAUUUUUUUUUUUUUUUUUUUUUUUAACCCCAGGGAAGUGCUGGGGGCGGGGCAGGGGGUGAGAAUUUUAACAGAAUAUUGGAGAGACAAAAUUUUUCUACCGUUCAUAUAUAUAUAUCUAGUUGAAUUAUUUCAAGAUUUCAAGGUCAGUAUUGUCCCCAUUUUAUAGGUGAAGAAAUAGGCCUAGAGGUACUAAACUUUACAACUUCAGGUGAGCAGGAGAUAAACAGGUAGGAUUCAAGGCUUACCAGUCUGAUUCCUGUUAGAAGAAAAACUUCAGCUGAACUAAAUUUAAAGGAGUUAAACUGAGCAGUGAAUGACUGGGCAGCCCCCAGAAUCACAGCAGAUUCAGAGAGACUCCAGGGAUGCCUCGUGGUCAGAACAAAUUUUUAGACAAAAAGAGGGAAGUGACGUACAGAAAUCAGCAGUGAGAUACAGAAACAGCUGCAUUGGUUACAGGGGGGCGUUUGCCUUAUUUGAACACAGUUUGAACAAUCAGCAGUGUAUGACUGGUUGAAGUAUGGCCGCUGGGAUUGGCCAAGACUCAGCUAUUGUUACAGGUGCAUACUCCUAAAUUAGGUUUUCAAGCUUGUCUGCCUAUUAACCUAGGUUACAGUUCGUACACAAGGACUCAAAUACAGAAGUACAGAGUCCUUCUCAGGCCAUAUUUAGUUUGCUUUAACACUGCCUCUCAAAUUCUUUCUCUUAUAAUUAAUGCUAUAAUCCUCUUAAACAUGCUCUCAGUUCAAAAUGCAGAUUUGCCCUUUUUUGUGUGUUUCAUUUAUCUCCACAUUGGAUAUAAGCUGCCAUAAUGCAUGUAUAGACAAAAUAUAAUAGAAUUAGUUGUUAUAAAGUAAAAAUUUUGUUCAGAAAUAUUAUUAAAAGAAGUACAUGUAUUAUAUAUGUAAUAAACAUUUAGGCCAUUCAAGUCAGUCACAUCUUCAAUGAAAAGCCAGACACUAAAUGGCCGUGAAUUGGACAUUACUAUAGAGAGGCAGAAGGGCCAUAGUCUUUCCUAGCUGGAAAAGUAAUUUGCUGGGAUCUGCCCACCUUGGCCUCCCAAAGUCCUGGGAUUACAGGUGUAAGUUGCCAUGCCUGGCCUGCAAAAUAAACUUUCUAAAAUGACAGAGUCCUAGCCAGAGCAAUCAGACAAGAGAAAGAAAUAAAGGGCAUCCAAAUUGGUAAAGAGGAAGUCAAACUAUCACUGUUUGCUGAUGAUCGUAUGCCUAGAAAACCCUAAAGACUCAUCCAAAGAGCUCCUUCAGCAAAGUUUCAGGAUACAAAAUUAAUGUACACAAAUCAGUAGCUAUACACCAACAGCGACCAAGCUGAGAAUCAAAUCAAGAACUCAACCCCUUUUAUAAUAGCUGCAAAAAAAUCACAUACCUAAGAAUAUACUUAACCAAAGAGGUGAAAGACCUCUACAAGGAAAACUACAAAACACUGCUGAAAGAAAUCAUGGAUGACACAAACAAAUGGAAACACAUCCCAUGCUCAUGGAUGUGUGGAAUAUUGGGAAAAUGACCAUAGUGCCAAAAGCAAUCUACAAAUUCAAUGCAAUUCCCAUUAAUACCACCAUCCUUCUUCACAGAACUAGAAAAAAC
rnacentral:lncRNA from 1 species